rnacentral:Y_RNA from 1 species
GGUUGGUCCAAAGGUGUAGUGAGUUCUCUCAGUUGAUUGUUCACACUCAGUUACAGGUUGAACUCCUUAUUCUACUCUUUCCCCCUUCUCACUACUGCACUUCACUAGUCUUAA